rnacentral:misc_RNA from 1 species
UUAAGUUCAGCGGGUAUCCCUACCUGAUCCGAGGUCAACCUGAAAAAAUUGGGGGUUAUUGGCAAGUAACCACCUGGACUCCAACGACGAGAAGAAUUACUACGCUUGAAGCCAAAUGGCACCGCCACUGAUUUUAAGACCUGCCAGAAACUGGCAAUGUCCAAUACCAAGCAAAGCUUGAGGGUUGUAAUGACGCUCGA